CAGUUUCUUGAGACUUUUUAUCUUUGUACUGUGUUUGGUGUGUUAGUGCUGAGCAGGUAGUUGAAUGUUAGAGAUUUGUUCAAUGGACUAGUUAUCCACUGCUAUUGUACUUUCUUGACCUCUUGUUAAAAAAUAAAAAGAAAUAAUAUACAAUUGGUAUGUCUUCUAAAUAAAGUAAAAUAGAAAGAUUCAGGAGGUCGAGAAUUGUGAGUCGAGUUGGUAAGAGUGUUGGAUUCUCAAAGGAAAACAUUGAGAGGACGUCGAUUUCUUGUGGGAAAGAGUGCAUUGUUGAGUGUGGGAUUCUUGUUUUAUAAGUUUAGUGAAAUAAAUUUUUCCUCAUUUAUGCGCCCUUUUUUGGGGUAGGGGGUGGGCUGCAGUUUCUUGGGACUUUUUAUCUUUGUACUGUGUUUGGUGUGUUAGUGCUGAGCAGGUAGUUGAAUGUUAGAGAUUUGUUCAAUGGACUAGUUAUCCACUGCUAUUGUACUUUCUUGACCUCUUGUUAAAAAAUAAAAAGAAAUAAUAUACAAUUGGUAUGUCUUCUAAAUAAAGUAAAAUAGAAAGAUUAAGGAGGUCG
rnacentral:lncRNA from 1 species